UCCUUUUAGGUCAAAAGCUAUUGAUAGCAGC
rnacentral:piRNA from 1 species